CAAUAGCGUAUAUUAAAGUUGUUGCGGUUAAAAAGCUCGUAGUUGGAUCUCGGCAGGCAGGGGGUGGUUCGCUCUUAGCGCUACUGCCCCAUUUGCCUGUGUGAUUGGCGGAGGUUUCGGGGUGCUCUUCGUUGAGUGACCCGGGGCGCCGUCAGGUUUACUUUGAAAAAAUUAGAGUGCUCAAAGCAGGCUUUUCACGCUUGAAUAUUCGUGCAUGGAAUAAUGGAAUAGGAACUCGUUUCUAUUUUGUUGGUUUUCGGAAAUCGAGUUAAUGAUUAAUAGGGACAAUUGGGGGCAUUAGUAGUCAGACGACAGAGGUGAAAUUCUUGGACCGUCUGAAGACUAACUACUGCGAAAGCAUUUGCCAAGAGUGUUUUCAUUAA
rnacentral:rRNA from 1 species